UACCAGGACCACGUGCAAACUAGUUCAUGCUUUUGUUACCUCUAUUUCGGAUUUUUGUAAUGCCUAGCUGUC